rnacentral:tRNA from 1 species
GCCCUCUUAGCUCAGGGGAUAGAGCGUCUGCCUCCGGAGCAGAAGGUCGCUGGUUCGAAUCCAGCAGAGGGCACCA